CAUGACCUUAAACUGAACAGCCCUGGUCUAGAUGCAUGGACAUAAACUGCAUGUCUGUAGCAGAGGUCUAGUUGCACGACCUUAAACUGCACGGUCCUAAUUGCAUGGCUCUAAACUACAUAACCAUGGUCCAAACUAUAUGACCUUAAACAGUAGCAGAGGUCUAGCUGCACAACCUUAAAACUGCAUAGUCCUAAUUGUAUGACUUUAAACUGCAUAACCAUGGUCCCAAAUAUAUGACCUUAAACUGCAGCGGAGGUCUAGUUGCACAACCUUAAACUGCACGAUCCUAGAUGCAUGACCUUAAACUGCACAUGUAAGGGCCACAAUUUUCUCCGAAUACAGUAUCACCGCGCGAGAAGAGAGAUGUGAUGUCGAGCGAGAAGGCGCAAGGAUUAUCACUGCACAUGAAAGGUGUAUGGAGCAUAAUCUGAGGCAUCGCCACGUGUAGGAGCUUAAUGCCGUCAGUAACGAAGCGACAGAAAAGAGAUGAAAGAGCAGUGCCAGCUAGGUGUUUGAAAGUGCAGCACCAGCUGGGUGUUUGAAAGCACAGCACUGGCUGGGUGUUUGAAUCUUAACGCCGUCAGUAACGAAGCGGCAGAAAAGAGAUGAAAGAGCAGCGCCAGCUAGGUGUUUGAAAGUGCAGCACCAGCUGGGUGUUUGAAAGCAUAGCACUGGCUGGGUGUUUGAAAGCAUAGCGUCGACUGAGUGUUUGAAAGCGCAGUGUCUGAGUGUUUGAAAGCGCAGUGUCUGAGUGUUUGAAAGCGUAGCGCCGGUUGAGUGUUUGAAAGCGCAGCACCGGCUGGGUGUUUGAAAGUAUAGCACCGGCUAGGUUUUUGAAAGCGCAGCGCCGACUGGGUGUUUGAAAUUACAGUGCUGGCUGAGUAAGACAAAGACAUAGUGCCGGCUAAGUAAGAGGAAGACAUCAACGUCUGUGAAUUCAAGGCCUAGCGCCAGCUGUGACCCAACUCUGUAUGGAAAAGAGGAGUAAGAAAGAGUAGUGCGGGGAGUGUCUUGGUCAAACAUACAUCCUCCAUACAUGUCAGCGCCGCUCCGUAUGUGUCAGAGCCAUGAGUGAUGGCGUUAGCCACAGUGCUUUACAACCACCCCCUCCUUUUAAAACCUUUUUCCUCCCCUAUGUAACACCAUCUUCCCCAUUUUCUCAACUUUGGAGCCCACUGUUGCCCCUUGAAGACAACCAACGGGUGAAGGUGUGGGAAAGCCAAAGAAGGCUAUUGAAGGAGAUUGAAGACACCGUGAGAAUCAAGCUAAGUGGGUUUAGUUUUUAUGCAUCCAUGACUGUUGUAAAAAUAUUGAAAUGAUAUAAAGGAAAACGUGAAGUGUGAAUGGGUUGACAUGAGGAUGGAACUUUAGAGUUAUGCUUCUAAAUGCCAUGACUACUUGAACCAUGCAUAGAUGAUUUUUUUAUUCAUGAAGACUCAUGAAAUUUCUCAUUGUGAGGCUUUCUAACAUGAACAAGGUUCCACGCCCAAAGUGUACUGUGGCCAUGAAAUAUUAAGUGCUUCUUAAAAGCGUAUUAACUCGAGAAUAUGAAUUUCCAGAGUUGUAAUGUUUUUGCAUCUAUAUGUUCAAUGACUAAAUGGCGUCCAAAUGGGACCAAUUAGUCUCAAAUGAAAAGCAGAUAUCUACUUCAAGUUUUCUUUUUAUGGCAUGAUGAAAUCUCGUACGUAUUAGAAGAUAUAGCUUAAGAUGCAAAGCCAUGUUCGCACAGUCGCUGUAAAUUCCAGUGAUUGUGACCCUUAUUGGGCCACACUUUUGGCCUAGCAAACAGUACCCAAAAACCUUGAAAUUACUACCAUUCAAAAGGUCUGUGAAUGUACUCAAGGUUGCAUGUUUUGAAGUUUUUGAAAUUCCCCACGGAUUUCGAAUUAUGACGCGAAAUGAGCGAGUAUGUCUCUCCGCACUGUUGCAGGGAGGAUUUCCAGCAACUAAUGAUCACAUUGUACUGAGCUAUUGACCCAUCAAAUGGCACCAAAAUUUCUUCAAAUCACUAUUUUUGUAAAGAACUAUGUAUUAGCUCAAAGUUUCAUGUUUGAGGCAUCCUGAAACUCCCCCUACAACGGGAGCUAUGCCCCCGCUAAGAGGGGCAUGUCACUGUUACUUGUCACUGCAUCAUUGUAUGACCAUGCGACGCUAAGUUAUCUUGAUAUAUGAUAAAUGUGAAUGCCAUAUAAUAAAUUCCAUGAGAAUGCGAUAAAGAUAUGUGAAUGAUACCGUGUAAACUGAACUUUGUGAGAAAGAGGGGCCACAAGUACGAUAGUGAUGAAAUGAAUUCAUAAUGAAUGUCAAAUGCUACUGAGAGGGCUCAUGUGUAAAUUCCAUGUGAAAGCUUAUGAAAUGCAUGUAUUUUGCUUAAUGCUAUGAUUUUAUGAUGAAAUAUGAUUCAUCUAUAUGAGACAUUGAUUUAUGAGAAUGUGAUUCAUCCAUUAUGAGGCAGUAAAUUGGCUACUACACGGUGGGACACUCACCGGUAGUGGAUAUUAUUAUGAUACUGUAAUGAAUUGGCCACUACGUGGUAGGACACUCACAGGUAGUGGAUAUUGUUGCGAUAUUAUGAUAAAUGGCCAAUGCUUAUGUUGUAUUGACCACUACAUGGUGGGACACUCACCGGUAGUGGAUACUGCUAUGAUAUUGCCUGCCACGCGAUGGGACAAUCAUUGGUAGUAAGGAAAGAGAUGCCGACAUAUCCCCUAACCUGCAUAAUGAUAUGAACGGGUUAAGGGAGAGGAUAGAGGAUCGCACCCAAGAUUUAUGAAAUGAAAUGGCUGAUGCUUUGCAAGGUAAGGGCAUAUCAAACCCCUAAUACUUGUUGGGGACUCUGUGUGUGUGUUGAGGGUAUUACGAAAUAGAUUAACCCACUUGUCAUUUCCCUCCCUCCUGUACGAUGGUAGAGGUCUUAAGCAAUGGGAUUGGCUUAGCCUGAUGGAUAGGGACUCUACUGCGGGAGUAGGUGAUUUAGGGAGUGAGUGGAUAAGAAUUGAUUUCUUGCAUAAGGAAUGUUUAGUAUUACAAUGAUUGGAUGAUUAAUAAUUUCACUGAUCAAAUGCUUAUGAUCAAACCAAUUCAAAGGUAACUGUCGUUUAAAUGAAAUGUUCAUAUUCGAUGUCUUGACCUGAUAUGCAUGUAUGCUAAAUUAUGACUUUAUAUUGAUGAACUAUAUUGUUUUCACACAUGGAUAGAACCGCCACAUAUGCAUGACACUAGAUCUGCUUACUGGGCUGUAUAGCCCAUCCCAUUAUUUCUUCUCUCCUUGUAGAAUGAUAGCAACAGGUGCAGAGCUCG
rnacentral:lncRNA from 1 species